UGGGGAAUAUUGCACAAUGGGCGCAAGCCUGAUGCAGCAACGCCGCGUGAGGGACGACGGCCUUCGGGUUGUAAACCUCUUUUAGUAGGGAAGAAGCGAAAGUGACGGUACCUGCAGAAAAAGCACCGGCUAACUACGUGCCAGCAGCCGCGGUAAUACGUAGGGUGCAAGCGUUGUCCGGAAUUAUUGGGCGUAAAGAGCUCGUAGGCGGUUUGUCGCGUCUGCUGUGAAAACCCGAGGCUCAACCUCGGGCCUGCAGUGGGUACGGGCAGACUAGAGUGCGGUAGGGGAGAAUGGAAUUCCUGGUGUAGCGGUGGAAUGCGCAGAUAUCAGGAGGAACACCGAUGGCGAAGGCAGUUCUCUGGGCCGUAACUGACGCUGAGGAGCGAAAGCGUGGGGAGCGAACAGGAUUAGAUA
rnacentral:rRNA from 1 species